GACGAACGCUGGCGGCGUGCCUAAUACAUGCAAGUCGAACGAACCGCGACUAGGUGCUUGCACUUGGUCAAGGUGAGUGGCGAACGGGUGAGUAACACGUGGGUAACCUACCUCAUAGUGGGGGAUAACAGUCGGAAACGACUGCUAAUACCGCAUAGGACAUAGGAUCACAUGAUUCUGUGAGGAAAGGUGGCGCAAGCUAUCGCUAAGAGAUGGACCCGCGGUGCAUUAGCUAGUUGGUAGGGUAAAGGCCUACCAAGGCGAUGAUGCAUAGCCGACCUGAGAGGGUGAUCGGCCACAUUGGGACUGAGACACGGCCCAAACUCCUACGGGAGGCAGCAGUAGGGAAUCUUCCGCAAUGGACGCAAGUCUGACGGAGCAACGCCGCGUGAGUGAAGAAGGUCUUCGGAUCGUAAAGCUCUGUUGUUAGAGAAGAACAGCGCAUAGAGAAACUGUUAUGCGUGUGACGGUAUCUAACCAGAAAGCCACGGCUAACUACGUG
rnacentral:rRNA from 1 species